UUGAACGCUGGCGGCAGGCCUAACCCCUGCAAGUCGAACGGUAACAGGAAGCAGCUUGCUGCUUCGCUGACGAGUGGCGGACGGGUGAGUAAUGUCUGGGAAGCUGCCUGAUGGAGGGGGAUAACUACUGGAAACGGUAGCUAAUACCGCAUAAUGUCGCAAGACCAAAGAGGGGGACCUUCGGGCCUCUUGCCAUCGGAUGUGCCCAGAUGGGAUUAGCUUGUUGGUGGGGUAACGGCUCACCAAGGCGACGAUCCCUAGCUGGUCUGAGAGGAUGACCAGCCACACUGGAACUGAGACACGGUCCAGACUCCUACGGGAGGCAGCAGUGGGGAAUAUUGCACAAUGGGCGCAAGCCUGAUGCAGCCAUGCCGCGUGUAUGAAGAAGGCCUUCGGGUUGUAAAGUACUUUCAGCGGGGAGGAAGGGAGUAAAGUUAAUACCUUUGCUCAUUGACGUUACCCGCAGAAGAAGCACCGGCUAACUCCGUG
rnacentral:rRNA from 1 species